CUACCCGCUGACGAGCGGCGGACGGGUGAGUAACGCGUGAGAAUCUGCCCAUCAGUGGGGGAUAACCCGGGGAAACUCGGGCUAAUACCGCAUACGUCCUACGGGACAAAGCAGGGGACCUUUUGGCCUUGCGCUGAUGGAUGAGCUCGCGUCGGAUUAGCUUGUUGGUGAGGUAAAGGCUCACCAAGGCGACGAUCCGUAGCUGGUCUGAGAGGAUGAUCAGCCACACCGGGACUGAGACACGGCCCGGACUCCUACGGGAGGCAGCAGUGGGGAAUCUUGGACAAUGGGGGCAACCCUGAUCCAGCCAUGCCGCGUGUGUGAAGAAGGCCUUCGGGUUGUAAAGCACUUUCAGUAGGGAGGAAGGCUUUCGGUUAAUACCCGGGAGUACUUGACGUUACCUACAGAAGAAGCACCGGCUAAUUUCGUGCCAGCAGCCGCGGUAAUACGAAAGGUGCAAGCGUUAAUCGGAAUUACUGGGCGUAAAGCGCGCGUAGGCGGUGUGUUAAGUCGGAUGUGAAAGCCCAGGGCUCAACCUUGGAAUUGCAUCCGAUACUGGCACGCUAGAGUGCAGUAGAGGGAGGUGGAAUUUCCGGUGUA
rnacentral:rRNA from 1 species